rnacentral:tRNA from 1 species
GACCGCGUAGCUCAGCUGGCAGAGCAUUGGGCUAGUAUUCCAAAGGUCGUAGGUUCGAUUCCCACCGUGGCCG